rfam:Rattus norvegicus chromosome 5, whole genome shotgun sequence.
GGGGAUUUAGCUCAGUGGUAAAGCACUUGCCUAGCAAGCACAAGGCCCUGGGUUCGGUCCCCAGCUCCG